rnacentral:ncRNA from 1 species
UCAAACGCGUGGAUGGGAACGAGUAAACCUGCGGAACUGCCAGAGAGCCUGCGGUUGGUGCGAAGCGGGUCAGCGAAACAGGUUGAAAAUCAUCCCGGAGCGUCGAACUGAAAUCGGCUGUUAGUUAGGUAGUUUGAUAGUUGGGUAGUUCGAUAGUUGGCCGAGAGUAGGUGAGACGGGAUUGUUCCUCGUUAUCGGGACAAGAGUAUCGCCGCAAGGCCGUACUCAUGAGAGCCUGCGAGCCUUAAACAGCGAGUGCAGGAACCUGGGUGGUACCGCGGGCUGGCGCUCGUCCCAAAU